GGGCCCGCACAAGCGGUGGAGUAUGUGGUUUAAUUCGAUGCAACGCGAAGAACCUUACCAAGCCUUGACAUCCUCGGAACUUUCCAGAAAUGGAUUGGUGCCUUCGGGAACCGAGUGACAGGUGCUGCAUGGCUGUCGUCAGCUCGUGUCGUGAGAUGUUGGGUUAAGUCCCGCAACGAGCGCAACCCACGUCUUUAGUUGCCAGCAUUUAGUUGGGCACUCUAGAGAGACUGCCGGUGAUAAACCGGAGGAAGGUGUGGAUGACGUCAAGUCAUCAUGCCCCUUACAUCCUGGGCUACACACGUACUACAAUGCUACGGACAAAGGGCAGCAAACUCGCGAGAGCUAGCAAAUCCCAUAAACCGUGGCUCAGUUCAGAUCGUAGGCUGCAACUCGCCUACGUGAAGGAGGAAUCGCUAG
rnacentral:rRNA from 1 species